rnacentral:rRNA from 1 species
UCAUGGCUCAGGACGAACGCUGGCGGCGUGCUUAACACAUGCAAGUCGAACGAGGUCCAACCAGUGGCAACACUGGGGAAGACCGAGUGGCGAACGGGUGAGUAACACGUGAGCAACCUGCCCCGAAGACUGGGAUAACGACCGGAAACGGUCGCUAAUACCGGAUGUCCCCACCGGAUCGCAUGGUCUGGUGAGGAAAUGAAUUUCGCUUCGGGAGGGACUCGCGGGCUAUCAGCUUGUUGGCGGGGUAACGGCCCACCAAGGCUACAACGGCUAGCUGGUCUGAGAGGACGACCAGCCACACUGGGACUGAGACACGGCCCAGACUCCUACGGGAGGCAGCAGUGGGGAAUCUUGCGCAAUGGGCGAAAGCCUGACGCAGCAACGCCGCGUGCGGGAUGAAGGCCUUCGGGUUGUAAACCGCUUUCAGCAGGAACGAAAUUGACGGUACCUGCAGAAGAAGCACCGGCCAACUACGUGCCAGCAGCCGCGGUAAUACGUAGGGUGCAAGCGUUGUCCGGAUUUAUUGGGCGUAAAGAGCUCGUAGGCGGCUUGGCAAGUCAGGUGUGAAAACUUCAGGCUCAACCUGGAGAUGCCACCUGAGACUGCUAUGGCUAGAGUCUGGUAGGGGAGCACGGAAUUCCUGGUGUAGCGGUGAAAUGCGCAGAUAUCAGGAGGAACACCGGUGGCGAAGGCGGUGCUCUGGGCCAGUACUGACGCUGAGGAGCGAAAGCGUGGGUAGCAAACAGGAUUAGAUACCCUGGUAGUCCACGCCGUAAACGUUGGGUACUAGGUGUGGGACCUUAUCAACGGGUUCCGUGCCGCAGCUAACGCAUUAAGUACCCCGCCUGGGGAGUACGGCCGCAAGGCUAAAACUCAAAG